rnacentral:lncRNA from 1 species
GCCCAGAUCGUACGCUAAGGUCCCUAAGCAAUCACUUAGUGGAAAAGGAAGUGAUCGAGCGAUGACAACCAGGAGGUGCGCUUGGAAGCAGCCAUCCUUUGAAGAAAGCGUAAUACCUCACUGGUCUAGCUCCAUGACAGGGCUCAAGUGAUUCACCGAAGCGACGAGACCUUAAAAACUGUUUUUUCAAGUGUCAGUAGAGAGACCUUCUGCCAAUCGGGAAAAACUGUUUUUUCAAGUGUCAGUAGAGAGACGUUCUGCCAAUCGGGAAAGGUUUUUGGUGACAAGACCUGGAGAUAUCAGAAGUGAGAAUGGUGACAUGAGUAACGAGAAAUC